rnacentral:rRNA from 1 species
UGGUUAAGCUAGAAAGAGCGUAUGGUGGAUGCCUUGGUGCUAGGAGCCGAAGAAGGACGGAGCGAACGCCGAAACGCUACGGGGAGUCGUAAGCAGACCUUGAUCCGUAGAUAUCCGAAUGGGGAAACCCUGUAUCCGUAAUGGGAUACAAUCCAUACCUGAACACAUAGGGUAUGAGAAGGCAGACCCGGGGAACUGAAACAU